AGCAGGCGGCUCUCCCCUGCUCCCCCACCGAGCACAGACCGUGGGAGGGGACCCUGCGGGAGGAGGCUGCUUCAGUCUCCAGAGACCAUCUCCCAUCUCUACAGCGACUCCCCUAUGACCGUCCCCCACCCGGUGCUCUCGGGCCACGGGGAAGGGACACUCGGGAAAGACACCAGAGACCGGGAGGGUGCAGCUGGGCUCUUCGCGGGGAGCGGGCGGGAGGCCUUCCUGUUACAUGUCGCAGCUGGGACACAGAGGGCAGCGCUCCAGGGUCCACUUGCCGGCUUCGGUUCCCUCAGGCCCAGGACCAGGCUCCACACCGCUGUCGCGUCCCUUAGCCGUGUGGGCUGUAGCACAGAGGGGGCAAACACCUCCAGGGGCUUGUGCCAAGUAAUUACCAAGCAAAUUCCCGGCUAUUUCCUCUCCUCCCCCCGCCCCCCCGGCCAGUGCCCGCUGCGUGUUCCCUGAUUCGGCCCCCGGCUGUGCAAUCAGCUCCAGGUAACCUGCGGGGACCCGUAAUUGCUCUGGAGUUGCCUGCGAGUUUGCAAGGUGGACACGGAAUUGUAGUGCUGGUCCUCCCUCUGCACUGGACUGGAUUCUGCCAAAGUCAACCAAGCGCCUUCAGUUGCUGACUCUCGUCUCCAGAUAUUUACUGAAUACAUGCCAUGUUCCAAACAUUCAGAAAGGAGUUGUAAUCGAUAAAGAAGACACCUGUCUACAAGAAGCUUACAGUCUACUGGCCAGAGAUGAGAUGUGUCCACAGAUAACCACGCUGCAAGUUAAGUAAAGAAGAAUCUGUAAGAGUGCUAUGCCACUGUGACCUGUUCUUUGAAAAAGCUUGGUGUGUGAAAUGAAAUCACAAAGCAACUUUCUUGAUUUCCCACUAUUUACAUUUACUUAAGGAGGAAAGUUCUACUAACCCCGAAUAUGUACAUGGAAAGAUCCAUGACCUUUCGGAAUAUUUUGGGGGAAAUAAAAUGUUCAAUGAUACCUGAAAUCAUAUCUAGAUUGAACUCAUAUUUAGAAUGCCUGAUCCCAUGUAAUGGUCAAAGCUUCCAACUUCAUACAAAGUUAUAGCUGGUUUCUCUCUCCCCAGCCAGUGCCUGCAACAGGGCAGGGGUUGAAUGGUCAGCUUCUAUCGGCAGAGGUCCCAUUGUUCCUGCAUGAGGCCCAGUGGGCAGGGCCUAACUUUGUACCAUCCCAGCUCUCUUGCUUGCAAAGCCCAUAUGCAAACCCUAGGAAACACUUACGCAUCUUUGCCUGAGCAGAUACCGGGAGAGCAACUCACCCAUGUGCCACCUCCUCUGCUUUCCUCCCUUCUGUCACCCAGAUUUUACAGGUGAAGGUCACAUGUCAGGCACUCAUUCUCCCACACUACAGGGGACAUACACUCUGCUGUCUGAGUGGUCCCAUUGAAGACCCCCUAGCCGACUGGAGAUAAGAUACAGUUACACCUGCCUCUCCCCUUAGGGAGGUGGAACUCACAGCUCAGCUGUCUCUAAAGAAGCCCUCUUCACAAAUACCUUCCUGUCAACCUCCCACACACUUAUUUUUUUAAUACCCUUGACAAGAGUGAGGGUUUUGAGCUGUGAAACCAGUUUCUGGAUAUUUCCUUUGAAAUUUCCAUCCCAGUCUGGCUCCUUGCUGGAGCAGCCAAUAUUCUGCCAUUUCAGGUGCUGAGCCCUGGCCUGGGAGGUGCCAGCAGGGAGAGGCCAAUUCCAGCAGAGGAGAGUCCAGGCAUGUGGGGAUAUGGUGCUGUUCUCCAUGGAGGGAGAAACAGGGCAUUAAUAAAAGUGCCAGGAAUAACCCUGUGAUUGAUGGGUAAAGGUCAUGGACUCUGGGAUACUGGCACGCACUGAUGGGAACCUGUUAGGGCUGGACCGGGACCAUCUCUGGCUUCCUGCUUCCCUCAGGUACCAGGAUGCUCUGCUAUGGUCUCUGGCAAAACUGAGCACUGGGGCUGGGCACAUAAUUUUGCCUGGGACAACUGCUGUAGGGGCUUCAGAAUGCCUGGUUUUCUAAAUUUUAUUGGUGUCAGGAGAGAGCUUUGAUAAGCUUUAAUGUGCUAUUAAUUAUUUGGGCUGUUAAAAAAGGGAGUGCAUGAGAGGCUUGGAGUUGAAUGAUCUCAUUUCUGAGGUUCUGAGGAGGUACACACAUACACCCCAGUGGAAGCCAACUCAGGAUCCAGCUGCUCACGGAGUUCCUCCCUCUGCUCAGACACCAAGAGCGCUGCUGCCUGAGACUGAGCAGAGUAGGGAACUGGGGAGGAUCUCCACUGCUUUGAACUUAAAUGUAACUUGGGCAAUUUGGACUUUCUUUGGGCUUUAAUUCGCAAGGGCUAAAUACUUUGAUUUUGGACUUUAAUCUCUUUGGGAUUUUAAUCUCUAAAUUUUUCCCUAGGAAUUUGAUAAUGGGAAGGGUUUAUAUCCAAAUUUGGGGCAUCUUAUUUUCCCAUUUAUUAUUGAAGAAAUCUUUAUGCAUUUUUUAUUAGCUCUUUAUGCAUUUUAUUAUUGAAGUAUCUUCACUCUGCUAUUAAACCUCAUUACAGAACCUCUGAUGAGGUUAGUGGGCCAUGUGGCUGGACAUCAAUUUGGAUUGGAAAUAGAACACGCUCUGAACUUGCAGUCUUAGACACAACAUAGCCUUGGACUGGAUUUUAUUAACACACUGUUCUGGCUCAUCUCAGAGGCUUAUGGAAGUGAAAUCAACAGUGUCUUAGGAUGGUCCCAGGAAGGCACAGGAAGAAACAGAGGUUGAUGCUGGGGGAGCGACCUCCUGCUCAGAUAGUUAGCUCAUCCCCUCCUGGAGCCAGAUGACCACAUACCUGGUUGUCCAGGGGUUAAACAUUAAGCCCAGCUGGUUAAGAUAACAAAAAUCUGGGGAAUUUUUAUCCCCUUCCUUCUCUAGUUUUCAUAUAGAGGGACUUCCCUGACCCCACACACUUGGCCCCUCUCUACUCCCUUUUUGACCCAGCUAGGAGUGAUUUGUCACUUGAGUUUAUGUAUGACUCACUCUCUUCCCCUCCCUCUCCCUCUCUUUUGGUAUAUGCCUGCCCUGGGAGAACACACAAGCUCUGCUGUCAGCCAUGUGGAAUGAAGCAUGCCGGGCCUCACCUCGGACCUGCACACUGCCCCUCAUUAUGUUCAUGAUCGGAAGGAAAUGGAUAAAGAGUGGCCAGAAGGUGAAAAAGAAGAGAUGACCCCCUGAAAGGGACAUCCACAUUUAUUUGAGCACCUACCAGCAAAGUGCUGGGCACACAGAAGGACAAUGUGAUGAAGCGCCAUCACAUGGCUGGUAGCCUGUGGUGAGUCACCGGACUUCUCGACUCCCACCUCACUAGGGUGGAAGGAACAGUAACCACAAGGCUCUGCAACUCGGGCUGCGCCCCCAUGAUUGGAAACAAUCUGUGAAAUGCCUUCAGCUCUCCAAAACAACAGAAAUGAUCAAAGAUGGAGGCAAGAAGACCAGAGAACCCUAAAUGUUUACUGUCUCCAGUGUGUUUGGAAACAGCUUGGACCAGUGUAGAGUGCUGGAACAGAGAGUCAAGAGCAUCAGAGCGUGUUGGCAGCUGCAGAUGUGCUUCAUGAGUCUUCUCAUUCAGGGACUUAGGCUGAAAGGGCAGCCCCUAAUUUGGGACCUGCCGAUCUGACAAUAGAAAGAACUGAGCAAGAGAACUGACCGAACACGCUGUACUCCUUGUAUCUUCUGAACUGACUCAUAUUCCAUGAAUCCAAAUGGAGUCUUGCUCUGUCGCCAGGCUGGAGUGCAGUGGCACGAUCUCGGCUCACUGCAACAUCUGCCUCCCAGGCAGCUACUUUGAUGACCUCCUCAAAUGCAAUGCAAAAGCUGGACUCUCCUCCGCCCCCAAGCACUCCCAGGCUCCUGGGCAGGGCCAUCAACUCCACUCCAGCCAUCCCUCCAGACUGGUGCCUGAAAAAUAGAAUUUCUGCUUCAGGGCACGGCUGUGGGACCGCCUUCCCCAUGCCCAGCGAGCCUCUUCUGCAUCUCUUUCUGCUGUGGCAAAGUGGGUUAAACAGCGCGCGGAUUUGCGAGGAACAUAGCCAACAAAUGAGAUAUCAAACGCAGCUUCCCGUGUAAGAGAUCAGACUCCGGCGGGCACACACGCCGGCGCUCUGCUGGAGCUCCUUGGCUCUGCAGCCAGCUUCAUUUAGGAUUCAUAAAUACUUUUGCGCACUCCCGCACAUACAGCCGCCAAAGGAAUUUCAUUCUGUAUCAUCUGCAUUCAAAUGCAACAAAGUGAAAAAAAAUGUGGACAUGAAAAAGAAGGAGAAGAAGAAGGAAGAGGCUCUGAAGAAAAUCUGAGGCUCGGAGUGGUGGGUGUUGGGUAGCUGAUGACUUGAGGAAGGCUUCCUCUACCUCUGUGUUCCUACAGAGAAGCCUGUCCCUGACUUCAGUUCACCUGUCGCAUGGUGGGUGAAUGCAGCCUAGACCUGCCGGCGUGGGGUAUGCUUUUCAAUGACACUUUUAAAAUAAUGAAUUGGAUGCUUGUCAAGGUAGGCAUCAACCUUAGAUAGGUAUCGGUCCUAAAGUUCCUCCUUCCAGCUGCUGGGGAGCUGGGACCUUUUGAUCUCCAACUUAGGCCUCAGUUAGCAAACUCAAAUGCUUUUGGGAACCAACCCGGGAAACCCAAAAGUAUGAAGCCAGUCAGGUAACCGGAGCGUUCCCGCUCAGGCCGAAGAAGGGAGCAGCUACUCCAUCCCAGCUGGUUAUUGUCAAGUGAGAAUUGUUAUCAAGUCCCCCCAUUUAUCAAAAGAAACCAGAAACACAUGUUUCGUUUGUUUGUUUGUUUUGAGAUGGAGUCUCGCUCUGUCGCCCAGGCUGGAGUGCAGUGGCGCCAUCUUGGCUCACUGCAACCUCCGCCUCACGGGUUCAAGCAACUCUCUGGCUCAGCCUCUCAAGUAGCUGGGAUUACAGGCACCUACCACCACGCCCAGAUAAUUUUUGCAUUUUUAGUAGAGACAGAGUUUCACCAUCUUGGCCAGGCUAGUCUUGAACUCCCGACCUCGUGAUCUACCCGCCUUGGGCUCCCAAAGUGCUGGGAUUACAAGCGUGAGCCACCGCGCCCGGCCCAGAAACACAUGUUUUUAAAAUGUAUGAAAUCUGGUUUUAAGUAAUAAGCACCAAUUUUUAAACUAUUAAAUACUCUGUUGGUCUAACAAAACAAUUCCAAUAGAUUACACCUUGUAGGAAUUCUACCCUAAACACCCUAGUCUAUCAAAGACUUACCUUCUGUCAUUGUUUGAAACACUUAUCUAUGUCUCAUAAUUUGCCAGGUUUUAUUUUUCUGACUUGUUCUCUAGCUUUUCGUUGUUUGCUCAGCAAGACUAUAUGCAUUUCAAGGGCAGGGCAUGUCUUAUUUUUGUUUUUUCCCAGUAGUUCUCAGCUGACGGUAAAAGCUUAGCAAUUUUUAGUUAGUUAUGACCUAACCCACCCCAUUCCACAAAAUAUUUGACAAUUUCUACAUAAAUGCAUGCUAAAGAAAAUAAAAUAAUUAGAUGCAUCAGAAUAAAUAAGUGGACUUGGCCUUCUAACCGAGUGCUUUUAUAGACAUGGUGCUUGAGUGAGUUUCCUCAGGAUAAUAUCCAAAUGUCUUCCUUAGAUUAUAGGCAGACCCAGAAGCUUGGGAGGGUCCCUGGAACAUGGGGAAAGUACACAUAGUGUGAAUAAAGACAAGGCAAGUGCAAUGGCCUUGGAGAAUGAGUUCUGUGAAUAGUAAGGCAGAGAGAUCAGGAUGUGAGAUCCACAACCCACCUGGAACUAGGAACCAAAAUAAUGAACGGCUGCCUCUCUGUGGAGCUUCUUUUGGUUGUAAGUGACAGACAUAAAAUUGAAACUGGCUUAGGCAAAAAGAGGAAAGUAUUUGAAGGAUGCUGAAAUAAUAUCCUUCCAAGCCAUAGGACAAGAAAGGAUUCAUUUGGACCCACAGGAAAAUCUGAAGCAGACAUAUCGUGAUAACUCUGUGUUUCAUCUCUGUUUGUUCUUCAUUUUCUCUCUGUUCAGCUUCAUUUUCUCCCUCAGCAGCAGGCUUCCUCCAUGCAUUAGGGAACAGAAUGACCAACAACCUGCAUGCCUCCCAUCUCGCAGCUUCCACCCCUAGAGAGAACUGCUUCACACUCUUCUCAUAGCAAGGUGGAAACCCUUGGGGAAGGGCUCUGAAUGCCUCACUGGAGUUUAGAUGCCCACCUCAGAGCCAUCCCAUUCAAUGAUGACAGCUAUGACAGGGGUGGCCAUGAUUGACCUGGCUUUGGAAAGAUACCCACACAUGGAGUAACAACAUGGCAGCCUUUAUUUAAACCACAUGAUUCCUUUUAGGAGGGAAACAUUUCCAAGAAGAAAAGGACACUUCCUAGAAGAAGGGAAGGGUGCUGGCAGAUCAAAUGUCCCUGAAGUUCAUAUAGCACUUGGCUACAAAUGGCUUCUAUUUGUAUCAUCUCAUUUUAUUUAUUUUAUUUGUCCCUCACAAAACUGUGAGUAAUGUAGGGUAUCUAUAAUUGUUCCCAUUUGACUGGUGGAAUAAAUAACGUUAAGAGAGACUAAGCAACCAAGGUCACAUAGCUUUGAAAAAUGGCCAAUCCAGUACUCAACUCAUAUCUUUUUUUUUCUUUUACUUCAAUUCCAACACUCAUUCCACUAUACAGGAGGUGAGUGGGAAGGUUGUGACUUUCCAGAAAAAGAAUUUUUUAUUGCAAGAUCAUGCUCUUCUGAAUAAUAUAAAGCCUGGCUGGUAGAUCUCUAACUAGGCUGCUCCUCCUCUGCUCCUCAAGGUUUGCUGGAAUUUCCUGAGAUGCAAGCAGCUGACCUCAAUGGCCCUCCCUGCUCAGUUUAAGGAUUUUGUUGUCUGCCCAAGAUCCAUAUCCAAAGAUUCCACAUCCAUCCCUACUCCACUCCUGAGUGUGUAAUUUGGGGUAUUUAGAGGUACUUCUGCCUUAUGAAAUGACUGGAGCCCUCUGGGCCACAGGCAUGACUACCCAUUGGAAAAGAACUGAGACAGGGUAGAAAACACUGCUGGGAAUGCAAUACCAACUGAAAUGAAGAUGAUCCUUUCCAUUUUUUCAGCUGAGAGCAGCACCGCUUGCCACUGGUGGAUGGCGCAGCCCUAUAUUGAGUACUAUGGCCAUGGUGGCAAGGUACUUGGCAUCUUCCAUGCAAAGAUGAAAGAAAGAGGCCUUCUCGCCUGUAUCACCAGAAGACUCCUGUAGACUCACUGUCUCAUGGUCUCUCUUGCUUUUGAGGCAAAUCAUGAACAUGCAUCUUUUUCCAUCCUGCCUAUCGAUGCCCAGAGAAGUCCUGGAUCUAAUUGAUUUGAGUUGGAUCAGCCAGGCCCUGUGUCCAAGCUGCCUCGCCUGCGUGUAGUAAGUGCAGCAUACUAAAAAGAAAGAAUUACUCCUGACGCCAGGAUUAUAUCAUUGCCAAAUGCAUUGAUAAUAUAUGAAAGAUGUGGAAUAAUAUAACACUACUUAUCAAUUGAGGGAAGCCAUCCUGAGGAGGAGGCAAGUAAGGUUUCGAUUUCCCUUUCUGGAUGAACCCUGCCCCUCCAUCCCACAACGAUUUGCUGUUCCCUAGGUUUGGCCUCAUGCAUAAUUCAGUGAUCCGCAUGGCAGGAAAACAUUUAGAAAACUUCUUUUGCCUUCUCCAGGAGGCUGGGGCAAAGGUGGCUUACAGAU